rnacentral:rRNA from 1 species
AUUGAACGCUGGCGGCAGGCCUAACACAUGCAAGUCGAACGGUAACAGGAAGAAGCUUGCUUCUUUGCUGACGAGUGGCGGACGGGUGAGUAAUGUCUGGGAAACUGCCUGAUGGAGGGGGAUAACUACUGGAAACGGUAGCUAAUACCGCAUAACGUCGCAAGACCAAAGAGGGGGACCUUCGGGCCUCUUGCCAUCGGAUGUGCCCAGAUGGGAUUAGCUAGUAGGUGGGGUAACGGCUCACCUAGGCGACGACCCCUAGCUGGUCUGAGAGGAUGACCAGCCACACUGGAACUGAGACACGGUUCAGACUCCUACGGGAGGCAGCAGGUGGGAAUAUUGGACAAUGGGCGGAAGCCUGAUUCAGCCAUGCCGCGGGUUAGAAGAAGGGCUUCGGGUUUGAAAGUACUUUCAGCGGGGAGGAAGGGAGUAAAGUUAAUACCUUUGCUCAUUGACGUUACCCGCAGAAGAAGCACCGGCUAACUCCGUG